AAAGAACAACAAAGCGAGGUAGCCAAUCAUCAACAUCCGCAUCAUCUAGUAUAGGUGGUUCUCCGGGAAGUUGUGUCCAUCUAGUUCGGACAUAGAGGUACCCAGAAAGCCUUGCAGACCUUAAUAUCUCAUCAAGAUGUUCUAACUGGGCUUUCAGAUGAGCCUCUUUCUCUUCUGCAUCUGCAAUUUCUGAUCGAAGAUAGUCG
rnacentral:misc_RNA from 1 species